GAUGAACGCUGGCGGCGUGCUUAACACAUGCAAGUCGAACGGAAAGGCCCUACGUUUGUGGGGUUCUCGAUUGCGGAAGGCGUGAGUGUCACGAGUGUAACCUGUCCUUGUCUUUCGGAUAACUUCACGAAACUGGGGCUAAUAUCGUAUAGGAUAUCCUGCUGCAUGGUGUGCGUUGGAAAGUUUCGGCGGUUGGGGAUGGAUUUGCGGCUUAUGAGCUUGUUAGUGGGGUAGUGGCCUACCAAGGCUACGAAGGGUAGCCGGCCUGAGAGGGUGAUGGGCGACCUUGGAACUGAGACACGGUCCAGACUCCUACGGGAGGGAGCAGUAGGGAAUGUUAGGCAAUGGGCGCAAGCCUGACCCAGCCAUGCCGCGUGAGUGACGAAGGCCUUCGGUUCGUAAAGCCCGUCUUUUGGGUAAGAACAGCUGUCGCAUGAGACGACGCGUUAGUGACGGUACCGAAUAAAGAAGCACCGGCUAACUACGUG
rnacentral:rRNA from 1 species